ACUAAGAGGGGGGAGUAACAUCCGGAAACGGGUAGCUAAUACCGCAUAGUUUUCUUGAUCGCAUGAUUGAGAAAGGAAAGACGGCCUUUGUGCUGUCGCUUAUGGAUGGACCCGCGGCGUAUUAGUUAGUUGGUGAGGUAACGGCUCACCAAGACGAUGAUACGUAGCCGACCUGAGAGGGUGAUCGGCCACAUUGGGACUGAGACACGGCCCAAACUCCUACGGGAGGCAGCAGUAGGGAAUCUUCCGCAAUGGACGAAAGUCUGACGGAGCAACGCCGCGUGAGUGAAGAAGGGUUUUUUCCGGAUCGUAAAACUCUGUUGUCAGAGAAGAACAAGUUGGAGAGUAACUGCUCCAGCCUUGACGGUAUCUGACCAGAAAGCCACGGCUAACUACGUGCCAGCAGCAGC
rnacentral:rRNA from 1 species